GGGCAGCCUGGUCUGCUGGUUGGUGACACUGCACAUAGCAGGGGGUCUUUGUGGUCCUUUUCAACCCAGGCCAUUCAAUGAUUAUUCUAUGAUCUAUUUGACAGGUGCGUGCUGAGGAAAUACAGAACCAAGGGAGAAAUCAGAGGAAAAAAGCAUCCAGUCUUUAUGUACUGAAUAGAAAGCAAAAGAGCAAAGGUUCCUACCAUAGUUUUGAAGAGUCAAGAGCUUUACAUGGUUUCCAAGCUUGUUGAUGGUCCCUAUCAGUAGGAGCAACACAUAUUUAGAAAUCAGUAGCGACUGUCUUAAAAACCAAUGAAGUUAAUUCAAUUAUUUUGCUACAGACUUUUGUAAAAUGAAACAAAGCCUUGAUGACAAAUGAGCUGAUGGCAUUAACAGUGAGAGCAGCGUGCUUUCCAUGACUUACAAAGGAUAGCUUUGCUGCUCUAAGACGUUUACAACCGGAGAUCUCUUAUCCAAAACUUCCUACCUUUCUAGUGCUUGUGUUGAAAGCAACAGGAUUUCAAAUCUGAUCAUUAUGCCCUAAGUGCAGGUCUCAGAUAAAGCAGUACUAUCAUAUUUUAGGCUUUUGUGACUUUUUUUUUUACUUGCCUCAGUGACAUGUACUAUAGACUGAAUGAGUACUUGCAAAAGACAUAUAAAUUUUGGCACCUGUUCCUCUAUUAAAUUACUACUUCCUCCCUCAGUCUGCAAAGGAAGUUUAAAAGAAGCAAGGCAAGCACAAUAGAAGCAACAUAAAGGGUCGAGCACUAAAGAGUCCAGUGGCAUUUCCCACUGAGCAAACAGGCUCAUUAAACAUCAUUAAAUAUCUGGUGACAUUUCCCACAGCCAAACACUACCAGCAGCAGCUGUCUUGCCCUGGCCAGCAGCAGCACAGUGGGACAGGACCCACCACGUGCCAACAAGCACCGGAUUCACUGCCCCCUAACACAUCUGUCCAUGAACAGCUUUAUAUCCCAUCUGGGGUGCACCCCACAGUAACACAAGUGUGGGGUCUGAAAAGUCAUGUUUUUUUUUUUCCUUGUUGUUAACUCAAUAUUGCUAUUAACAUCCUUCAGAGCAGAAGUCAGUAGAAAGAGGUGAGCGUCCACCCCAUAUGGAACCUUCUGGAAGGGCAGACAGUUCUAGAAAGCCCCACCAACACCCCCGGGUGACAUGCACAGCCAACACUUGCGUUGGAAACACCUGUGAUGGGAAAUCAAGCACCCCUGGGACAACACCAGGCCAUUCUGAGAGAAACGUGGGUACCGUCACGACAUCUGUGAGGAGGGAGCCUCAGAAGCAGCUAUGAUUACCUUUGCUGGAGGUGCUCAGACAGCAGCCCACCACCUUCCGCCGCGACCCGCUCCGCCUCACGGCCCUGCCGGUGCGGCACUUCCCGCCCGCGCGCCACUUGUUGGCCACACGGGGGCGGUCAGGUGCAGAAAAUGGUGCUGUUUCUUACGGAGUGAAGCUGGUAAACCGUGAAGGGAGAAAAAAAAUCACUGCAGUUUUAAUUUAGAGAAGUUUGUUAGAGAAAAAAAGGAGCUCGUGGGAGGAAAGUAUGAAAAGGUUUUAGAGCGAUGAAGACAAAGUUCUGCAUAAAAUCUGAUCCUCAGCCAGAGUGGCAGCUGUGAGCAGAGGUGACCUUCCUGAGGAGAAUUUCUCUGCUGCGAAGGAGGCAGCUGCUUUGUGCAGGGAGGAAACCUUAUCAACAAAGCCUAAAACUUUGAUUUUGUCCGGAAAAGACAGUGGGCGAAUGGCAGUAAGCCUCCUUGAGACAUCUGAUGGAGGGCUGGAAGGAGCUCAGCCACCCGUGAGCGCUGCCAGCCUCACGCAGCCAAAUGCCACCUGUGUCUGGGCAGCACGGCCUCAGGGCUCGUCAGCACAGCUGCUGGUGGGAGCUCUGAAAAUUAUGGCCUUGUGUUUUCGAUCUAGAUGUAGAAUUGGUGGUACGUUUCUAUGACUGUUACUUUGGUCAGAUCUGUUUUGCUGAAUGCCAUCUCAAUGGGUUGACAGAUAUUCUAGGAGGAGAUGGAACUCGGGAUGAUGACAGAAAACACACGAAGGAGGCUGGCGUGGUUGAUUGUGCCUUAUCAUAAUGGCCUUUCCUCUUGCACAGCCAAGAUAACGCGUGUCCCUGCUGCUCAGAGACCACUCACUGCAGCUGUAAUGUUAAACAGGUUCCAAAGGGCAAUCCUGAACUUCUUACAGCCCAAGAACUCCAGGUUAAAGAACUGAACUUCCUGAAUAUUUAAAGUAAUUGGAAAAAGUGGAUCAAAAGUUAAAA